rfam:Capsicum annuum cultivar Zunla-1 chromosome 10, whole genome shotgun sequence
AAGGCAGGCCUUUUGGCUAAGAUCAAGUGCAGUAUCUGUUCUUAUUAGUUUAAUAUCUGAUAUGUGGGCCAUUGGCUCACACAAUUUUAACACAAUUCUUUGAGGGGGAAGGUCUAUCAGAGUAGCUUGCUACUCGGGCUUUCAUGUGUUGCCUAGGUGUUGCACUACAGCCUUGGCUUGGCGCAACCCAC